ensembl:lncRNA
GAAAUUCAGGGACCUGAAAAUGACUUUAACACAUAAUAACUCAAUGCACUUCUCCUGAAGUAGAUGCCAAUUUGAGACCUAUGCCCUGGUCCGACAGAAGAAAAUGUGCAUCUUUGAGUGAAGUACCAUCAGCAAUUGAAGAGUGACUGCUGGGAAAGUUGCACUGACACAGGCGGCUACAAAGCUGCAGGUUCCAGGGGCAGCAGGCUAAGUACAGAAGCCCAGACCUCUCUCUAUCCAGUCAUCUCCUCCAGCUCUCAGAGACACUUACGUAUUCCCAAGCCACCCGUGAGAUAUAAUCUUCCCAGUGUGUUCUGAGACUAUCCUGGGGAUGCCACCUUCUAGGACAUGCCCAAAAAACGUCACCUAUGACACACCCGGGAGGAUAUAUUGUGGUUACAGCUGUAGCGGAACUAAGUUCGUGUGAGCAAGAGGAAACGCAUCAACUAAAGUGAAAUCAACCAGAGAAGAUUUGAGGGAUGAUAGCGCUCCUCCUUAUUAGAGUAUCUACGUGCAAAAACGCCUGUUGAUGGCAAAGGUCAAAGGAGAAUGGCCCGGCUGCUUUGAACUGAUGGGAAAGCAACAGUAACUCAAAGUAUGCAGAAGAGCACAACAUAUCGAACCUUGAAGCAGAUGGGCUGCAACAGCAGAAGACCACACCGGGUCCCACUCCUGUCACAGGAAACUGAAUCUACACUUCACAUAGGCUCACCUAGAGACCUGAAGAUAUGAGUCAAAUUUGGGAUGCUAGUGGUGGUAUAGUGCAUGGAGGAUAUAUUCUUGGCCCACUUUGGGCCCUGUAGUACCAGUUCACUCGCUUCUAAAUGCUAAAACCUACCUUUUGUAAACUGUGAGCUAAGCGGAGAUUUCUAACUUUCAUUUAAGGGAAUUAACAAAAGUAAGGCAUGUGUGGAAUUUAAUCUCUGGCUCUCUUCCACAGAGAGCCAGAGAUUUGGCUCUUGUCCUCCCCUCACCCCCAACUAGUCGCCACAGAUACCCGCCCCUUCCUGAGCCUGAUCCAGUCAGAUGUUUCUUCCUGUUAAAAAGGAGUUUUUCCUUCCCACUGUCGCCAAGUGCUUGCUCAAAUGGGAUCAUUUGAUUGUUGGCGUUUUAUCUGUGUUAUUGUAGCAUCUUCACCUGACAAUGUAAACUGCCCUGUUGUGAUUUGGCACUAUAUAAUAAAACUGAACUGAAUUACAGUCACUUUUA